GAUGAACGCUGGCGGCGUGCUUAACACAUGCAAGUCGAACGAAGCACCUUGAUUUGAUUCUUCGGAUGAAGAUCUUGGUGACUGAGUGGCGGACGGGUGAGUAACGCGUGGGUAACCUGCCUCAUACAGGGGGAUAACAGUUAGAAAUGACUGCUAAUACCGCAUAAGACCACAGCACCGCAUGGUGCAGGGGUAAAAACUCCGGUGGUAUGAGAUGGACCCGCGUCUGAUUAGGUAGUUGGUGGGGUAACGGCCUACCAAGCCGACGAUCAGUAGCCGACCUGAGAGGGUGACCGGCCACAUUGGGACUGAGACACGGCCCAAACUCCUACGGGAGGCAGCAGUGGGGAAUAUUGCACAAUGGGGGAAACCCUGAUGCAGCGACGCCGCGUGAGCGAUGAAGUAUUUCGGUAUGUAAAGCUCUAUCAGCAGGGAAGAAAAUGACGGUACCUGACUAAGAAGCACCGGCUAAAUACGUGCCAGCAGCCGCGGUAAUACGUAUGGUGCAAGCGUUAUCCGGAUUUACUGGGUGUAAAGGGAGCGUAGACGGAGUGGCAAGUCUGAUGUGAAAACCCGGGGCUCAACCCCGGGACUGCAUUGGAAACUGUCAAUCUGGAGUACCGGAGAGGUAAGCGGAAUUCCUAGUGUAGCGGUGAAAUGCGUAGAUAUUAGGAGGAACACCAGUGGCGAAGGCGGCUUACUGGACGGUAACUGACGUUGAGGCUCGAAAGCGUGGGGAGCAAACAGGAUUAGAUACCCUGGUAGUCCACGCCGUAAACGAUGA
rnacentral:rRNA from 1 species